rnacentral:rRNA from 1 species
UAUUUCAUUGAUGUAUAAAAUUAGCUAUACUAAUCAAACUACAUAUGGCAGCACACACGCAUUGUGAAAAUGGGCAUAUUUAUUGGUUUUUAAAAACUCACCAAAAAAUAUACCCAACAAAUAUUAUCCUUUAGUAUUUAUAAUCCUUCACAACACCAAUGUCUUAUUUUAUAAUUAGCUAGGAAACUAGGCCAUAGAAAAUAAGUAAAAGGGAUGGCAAAAGAUGGUGCCAGCAGUCGCGGUUAUACCAGUAUCCCAAGCUAAUUUCAACAAAGCGAAGCAAUUUUUCUUAAGUAAUGGUUGCAAGAUUAUCUUUUAAUGUAAAAAAUUAAUUAAAACCAAACCCUGCCCAACCACUUUAAUAAUUACUUCAACAAACCACGACCUCAGAACUCGGAUUAGAUACCCGACUACUGUGUGGCUCAACACAAAAAAGAAUACUACGAGCGAAAGCUUAAACCUCAAACAAUGUGGCGGUGCUUUACUCCUCAUCAGGGGAUCCUGUGGCUUAAUUCGAUAAUCCACGAAAAUCUUAGCUAUUCUUGUAUCACAGCUUGUGUAUGGCCGUUUAUGCUUGCUCAAAGAAGAAAAAAAAGGAAGCAAUCGGGACAACUACCCAAAAAUUCAGGUGACAUACAGCCAAUGAAAAGCAGAUCCAUGGGAUACAAAUAAAUACACUACCAAAUUUAAAGUUCGAAAUUUUAAUGAAGGAGGACUUGAAAGUAAGAUUAAGCCUUACAUAAAAAUAAUCUGAACAAGAACUAAAGCGCGCACAAAUCGCCCGUCACUCCGACAAGAAAGUAGGAUAAGUCGUAACACAGUAGGGGUAAUGGAAAUUGCCCCUAUUAAAAA